rnacentral:snoRNA from 1 species
GUGCAAGCCUCCAGCGUGCUUGGGUCUGGAGUGACCCUGUGCAUUCCUACAGUGCUUUGCAAGAAUAAGAUGAAAUGGUUUGAGGCCUUGCCCUGCUCCAUCCAGAGCAAGGUUAUAGAAAUUCCAGACAAUU